ensembl:lncRNA
GAAAUUUUAAAACCAUAAAGAAUUUGGUUAAAUCACAAGGACUUUGAGAUGUAGUCUUGUCAUGUGGUGCUUACAAAAUACUUUGAAGCUGAAAAGUACAGGAGGAGGAAAAAUAUUCAGCACUGCUGAUAUUAUUGUGACAUAUGGUAUACUUAAUGAAGUGAUUACAUACUUUUAAUCAUAAAAGCCAAUGAAAAGAGGACAUUUUGUGAAAGAUCAGAUCAUCGGGCUUCUAGCAUAUUCUGUGCAGUUGCUUCUUCUCUCUGGGAGAUGGUACUGGCUCUCAAACCACUGGACCAAGGAAGAUAGACUAACAAUAUCACAGCUCUUUUAUGCCCAUGGCCAGAAUGCUUUCAAGUUACUGGAGACUUUAUUUAUUUAUUCAUUUUACAUGGGGCCGGUCCAUUUAAGGGUCUCCUCAAGCAUCUGUGGGAAUCACUCUCGAAAUGUUCUGUUCCACUGCAUCAUCAAUCUUUAAUCCUGUCUGAGUUAUGGUGAAUCUUCCUAUAAACACUGUCUCUAGCUUCUGGGUGAUAGUGCUCAACAUCUUCCACUGAAUCAUGGGAAUUUGAUUCUUCCAGUUUGUCUCUGAGUUAGCUGGGCCAGGCAAUAUAUGCUAUGAUUGCCUUGAGAGGAAUUUCCUUAAGAAGCCUUGAGAAAACAAAGUGGAGAUGGAGGUAUGGCUGAUAGUUGUUGCCACUAAGUGCCAGGAAGGUGAUGCAACCCUGAUGAAACAGUGAUGAAAAUUCAUGUCUCUGCCACACUCACAUGUAAAAGGGGUUGAUCAAGAAAUAUCCUUGAUCCAUCUGAUGAAGCUACAGACUACAGUGUGACCUUUGCCUACAUUGGCAGUACACUUUUCAGCACUGUCCACAUAGAUGAUAAGGUUAAUGCAUAUAUUGCCAGAGAUAGCUCAAUGUUUGGGAGGCUUUGAAAGAAAGUGUAGGAGAGAAGAGGUAUUAGGUGGCCUACCAAACUGAAGGUCUAUAGAGCUGUUGUGCUGACUACACUGUUGCAUGCCUGAAACCUGGACCAUGUUAGAAAACUGAACUGCGUCCACUUUGAACUGUCCCAGGAAAAUCCUGAAGAUUACCUGGAAAGAUAGGGUACUGGACACUGAGGUCCUUUCUAGAUCAGAACUACCAAGCAUUUAAACUCUGUUGCAGAGAGGGCAACUCCAAUGGGCUGGCCAUGUAGCCUGAAUGCCAAAUACAUGCUUACCCAAAAGCCUAUUUUACAGAGAACUUACACAAGGUAAGCGUUCACAUGGUGGUCAGAAGAAGUUGUAUAAGGACACUCUCAAGGUAUCUCUGAAGAACUUUAGUACUGACUAUGAAACAUAGGAAAUGCUGGUACAGGACCACUCAGCACAGCGUGCCUGCAUCAAAGAAGGUGUUGUACUCUACAAGCAAAGCAGAAUUGUAGAAGCACAAUCCAAGGCAAAUCUGUGCAAAUCCAGAGCCACUUCCACCUAAUAUAUUCUUACAGACCACUUGUGCUCCAUCUGUGGUAGUGCCUUCUGAACUUGUACUGGUCUGAUCAGCCAAAGCUUAACACAUCAUGAUGUCAUUGGACUUCCUCAAAAAAUGAAGAACAAACAACAGAGUGUGACCUUGGUCUGGAAUCAGGAAUUCACUCACCCACAAGAGUACAGCCAUGCUGUUUUGUGCCUUGUUGAGAAGAUACAAACCUAUUGUCUCUCUCUCUAGAGUAUAAACUCCUUGAUAAUUGGGAAAGCUUCAUUUUUGCCUUUGUAUACCCAGUACCUGUAUUAACACAGUGACUGACUUGCAAUAGGUUCUUAAUAAAUGUUUUUUUGAAUGAUUGACUAUUCCUGAU